rnacentral:lncRNA from 1 species
AUGGGUAAUCCAAAUCGUAGUCAAAAACAAUCCAAAGUCAAAACCAAAAAGACAGUCCAAAAUAAACAAACAAAGGAAAGGGACAGGAAAGGGAACUCGGAAAACGAGAGGACUCUGAGGACGAGCAGAACAGGAAGAAUCUCGGGGGAAGAGAAUUCUGGAUACACGAAGGCCUGGUGUUGGUGUUGGACAAAAAAAUUUCUACUUGGCGAAUACAUUCCGCGUCUGGUGUUGUUCUGGUGGUUACUUUUAGCUUCUUCACCUCUAUUUCAUUUUGUUUGUGAAAAGACCUGACACAUUCUAAAAACACAAAGAGCAAGGUGUUAACAUUACAAUUUCUAUAGCAGCAUCCAGAUGCACAAACCAAAACUUAAACACUUACUUUUCAAACAUGUCAGGAGCACAGGUGGCAACACCUUCUUCCCAUCUUUCCCCGUUCUGUUAUACAGACAGAGAACAUUGUCUGACGCUAUGCUUUUUAAAGCCUGUCUCACCAUCUCACCUAUAUUGGAGCUGCCGUGAGUAUGGAUGAGAUAGUGUACCUGACAAAAACAUACAUAAUAUUGUCAUGAUUAAAAUAUACCAGGCUUCAACAUUUCUUUUACAUGGUAUCUGCUGCAAAAAAAUAAAACAGUGGCUUUGUUGUAAAAAUAAACGCAAAAUUUAUAUAGUAGUACUAACAUAAAGCUCUCGAUAAUUUUUGUCUUCUUCAAGCCUCUGACAGAAGGCUUCAAACAUUUCAAAGCUGGAGCACUGUUGUUGUUUAAAAAGUUCCUCAUGGGCAUCUUCUUCUGCCCGCUUCAUGAGAACAGACUUAACUUUGGCCAAGUCAUUCAUGAUGACAGCUUGUCUCUGUUCCAGCAUUUGAAUUUGUUGGAGUAUCUUAGUAUUCAUUUCUGAAAAAUUGUAAAGUUAGAUUGUUAUAUAGCAAAGGAUGUUAUGUCUGUAUAAAUAAAUAAUGUCUAAUUGAUAUAUCACAUACCAAACAAUUUCUCCAUGGUGACUUUGCAUUUUGUUUCCUUUGGUUCCUUCCCUGUUAUCAAAAUUACAUACAUAGGUGGUUCACUUUAAUUGUGGGGACAUUUGGUACAAUGUAAAAAAAAAAAAAACACACACACGCACGCACGCACACACACACACACACACACACACACACACACACACACACACACACACACAAUUCAUAGUCUUUGGAUCAAAAUCAGGAUAACAUGCAAUAAAAAAGGCAAAAACCCUGCCUUACUGACUUACUUGACUAACUAAUCAAACUGAAUGCAUGAGCGGUAUAAGCGCUACCGCAUUGUAUUCAUCUUUAUCAAACAAUGACAAAGGUAUCAUGAUUGCUUUAUGUCUCAGUUGAGUGGUGUCAGUAUGUAACAUUUUAGUGUGAUUCCGAAAUCCUUUGAAUAUGCCAAUUAUUCUGGAGUCACAUGGCUUAGUGUACAAAGGUUCCAUUCUGCAAAAAACCUCACAAAAAAUCAGAUUUUCUUGAACUCCAUGUAUAAGGCAGUAGCUAUCAUUGGUCAUUCUGUAACAUUCUUUUGUCUUUGGCGUACCAGAGGUAACAUUUGAUUUCUUAGAACUUGAUAUUGCUUGCCUCUCUGCCAAUCUGUUAGCUACUUGAAUCAGUGGAUCACUUGAACCGCGGAUAAACCUCUUGAUUUGACCCAUAUUGUUCUCAAACUUGUACGCUGAACAAUAGUGUAAUGAUCUGUUGUAAUUUGCAACAUCAGUGAGAUGUAGCAAGCAAUGCACAUUAUAUGAGAUGAAACUCAUGCUAUACAGGCUGCUACCUUUUUCAACAAAAUAUGUUAACAGCUCAUCUGCAUAAUCACGAUGCUCCAUUAGGUUUUCACUGUACAAGAUGCGCAUUCCAAUACUAAGUGAAAGGAAGUGAAUAUACUUCUCCUUAUCGAGAACAUAUUUCAAAAUCACUGGUCCAGUAUAAAGCAAAAAUGUUCCGAAUUCAGUUGCUUUCCAGUGCUUCAGUUCAUCUAACCCCCUUGGUUUCCUAUUGAAUUCAGGAGGUAUGUGAUGUCGGACAGCUUGAUGAAAAUAAGUAAUGGUGCUAAAAUGUCCAGCUGAUAAUCUAUGGGCCAAAGGUCCUUCUUUCCACAGCAUCAACAUUCGCUCAGUCACUCCUAGAUCUACACAAUGCAUGGGAUCUAUUGGGAACUGCCUGAUCAUAUCAAUGUCCAGAUUCAAAAGAAUGCUAUCUGUUUUGUGAUGUUCAGGAUUUGUCUUCUGUCUAAAUGACUCAUUGGUUCUGAGAUUUCCUUUAUACAAAAAAAGCAUUUUGCUCUCAUGAACUCCCUUUACAUCACAAAAGUCACAGCCAUAGCGGCCAUUAAACUGAACUAUUCCUUUGAUGAGGGCUCGUGCUGGUGCAUCACAUUUGAUGUUUUUGAGGACAAUUCUCUUCCCUUUAAAGCCUUUUUCCAUCAGUUCUUGCAGCUCCUCCAUAAAUCCCUCAAAAACUCCAAAUCACUUGGUUUCUUUGCUCCAGAAAACAGAGCAACAACGAAAGGACUGUUUUUCACUUCAUCACCGUUGAUGACAGCAUACUGAAGCGGCCACAUUGUGAGGUUUUUGGACUUGAAAAUGGGUAGGCUAUCAAUAUUCAAAGAAAUCUCAAAGUGGUCGUAUUUUGAAGUGUCUUGCUCAGACAGAGUAUGUGUAAGACCUUCCUUUAAUCCAAAAUAUGUGUAUUUGCCACCUAUCAAAAACAAGAUUUUACAGUUCAGUGAAAUUUCUGAAUAAUAUUGCCAAAUGAGUGCAAUGAGAAUUUUCAAAGUUAAAAUGUACCUGAUUUUUCUGUUAUUCUCAAACUGCCAGAACGAGGUGUUUUCAAUAGUGUUCGUCCGUCUGUUGGAACAUCAAUGUCAUGUUCCUUCAAAAUCUUAAGCAAAUGAGUGAGAGAGGUCAUGGAGAUGUUGAAUUUUAUUGCCCACUCAGACAGCUUUUUCUCCAGAGACAAAGCUAGCUCUGAGUUACUUUCACUGGUAACAUCCAUGGAAUCAUUUAGUCUAUCAAUUUCAUACCAUAGCACUUGAUCUUGCAUAUUAAUUAUGGUAUUCUGUUGUGAUUCUGAAUCAUACUGUUCUUGCAAGUCUUCAUUUUGAUGCUGCUCCACAACAUUCAGCAUAUUUCCUGAGUCGUCUGAUGAGUAGUCUGAUUCAAGUUCUCUGGAGGAGUGUUCACUAUCAGAAGUGUUUUCAUUUUUUUUUCUGAACAGCCAAAAUGAUCUUUUUUGAUUUUCUACGAGCCUUUUUUUGCUGUCUUUUCAAUGCCUUAAUUUUUGUUUCCAAAUCCUAACAGGCCAAAAAGAACUUCUGUAUUAGUAAAACAUUAUAUGAAACACAUAAAUCUUUUACAAUUUUUUUUAGUUUGAGAAGACAACCUUAGCCACUUUCACUGAUUACUGUAUUUGAUAAUUGUUUAAGAAGUCUUCUUUGGACAAUUGUUGUGUAUCCUAAAGAAAGUGUGUAUCAUAAAGUACUUUAAACUAGACUUUUGUAGAUCUACACUUUACAUUCUUAAUGAUGUAGUGUUGCAUCUGAUGUCUGGGUAAAGUUGCUUGUUAUGUUAAUAAGAGGAUGAAUCUCAGUCACUUUGAGUUUUGGUAAAUGGGAAGUGACAUUGAAGCUUUUAACAUAAAACAGCUACAGUUCCGCAGAUAGAAGUUGUUGUUAAAAAACUAGUCAUAUAGCGUGGUGAAAUAAGGCUUUUUAUCUUUAAUAUGAGUGUCUAAGAGUAGGCGUACUUCAUCUUUUUAUCCAAAGAGCAAUGAUAGUUUACGCUAUUCCACCAGUGCAGCAUUCUUGCUUACUGUUGUUUUACAGUGCUUGUUAAUUAUUUAAAUAUAAGUAUAAAUAAAAAAGAAUUAAUAUAUUGAAAUAUAAAGUUAGUAAUGUUGUAAUGAUCUGACAUAACAGGCCUAACAAUUCACAAAUACUGAUAUGCAAACUAGCUGCAGCUAGCAAUUUUGGUGUGAUUACUGAAGGUAAAAUGGCUGGUGCACAUGUAGCAUGUGUGAGUAGUACUCUGCUAAAAAAAAAAAAAAGACCAGACCACAUUGCACAUCUAAAAGUAUGUAAAUAGGCCACUCACCAUUUAUGCGGUGUAACAAUACCAUGCACAACUUUUUCUUCUUCUUUACAUGUUUUAUGGUGGUUGGAAGACCAGCUUAGAUGGUGCAUUUACCACCACCAACUGGACCGGAGUGUGAAGCAUUCACAAUGAGCUCACGCUUUACACACAUGCUGAGGAUCACAGUAUGAGGAUCAGAUGAACUCACCUUGAGCUCAUGCUUUACACACAUGCUGAGGAUCACAGUAUGAGGAUCAGAUGAACUCACCUUGAGCUCACGCUUUACACACAUGCUGAGGAUAACAGUAUGAGGAUCAGAUGAACUCACCUUGAGCUCACGCUUUACACACAUGCUGAGGAACACAGUAUGAAGAUCAGAUGAAC